rnacentral:rRNA from 1 species
UACGUAGGGGGCAAGCGUUGUCCGGAAUUAUUGGGCGUAAAGAGCUCGUAGGCGGUCUGUUGCGUCUGCUGUGAAAACCCGGGGCUUAACCCUGGGCUUGCAGUGGAUACGGACAGACUAGAGGUAGGUAGGGGAGAAUGGAAUUCCCGGUGUAGCGGUGAAAUGCGCAGAUAUCGGGAGGAACACCGGUGGCGAAGGCGGUUCUCUGGGCCUUACCUGACGCUGAGGAGCGAAAGCGUGGGGAGCGAACAGG